rnacentral:rRNA from 1 species
UACGUAGGGUGCAAGCGUUGUCCGGAAUUAUUGGGCGUAAAGAGCUCGUAGGCGGUCUGUUGCGUCCGCUGUGAAAACUCGGGGCUUAACCCCGAGCCUGCAGUGGAUACGGGCAGACUAGAGGUAGGUAGGGGAGAAUGGAAUUCCCGGUGUAGCGGUGAAAUGCGCAGAUAUCGGGAGGAACACCGGUGGCGAAGGCGGUUCUCUGGGCCUUACCUGACGCUGAGGAGCGAAGCGUGGGGAGCGAACAGG